rnacentral:sRNA from 1 species
AUACAGCCCCGAUUGAAACGAUAUCUUUUUGUUGUUCUCGACUCCGCUCGAACUGACAACAAAAAAUAAAGUGUAAAGCGGGAAAUUUA